rnacentral:rRNA from 1 species
UACAGAGGGUGCAAGCGUUAAUCGGAAUUACUGGGCGUAAAGCGAGCGUAGUCGGUUAUUUAAGUCGGAUGUGAAAUCCCCGGGCUCAACCUGGGAAUUGCAUUCGAUACUGGAUAGCUAGAGUUCGGCAGAGGGAAGCGGAAUUUCUGGUGUGAGCGGUGAAAUGCGUAGAUAUCAGAAGGAACAUCAGUGGCGAAAGCGGCUUCCUGGACCAGAACUGACGAUCAGGCUCGAAAGCGUGGGGAGCAAACAGG